UGGGGAAUUUUGGACAAUGGGCGCAAGCCUGAUCCAGCCAUGCCGCGUGAGUGAAGAAGGCCUUCGGGUUGUAAAGCUCUUUCGGCCGGGAAGAAAUCGUGGUCUCUAACAUAGGCCAUGGAUGACGGUACCGGACUAAGAAGCACCGGCUAACUACGUGCCAGCAGCCGCGGUAAUACGUAGGGUGCGAGCGUUAAUCGGAAUUACUGGGCGUAAAGCGUGCGCAGGCGGUUUGCUAAGACAGGUGUGAAAUCCCCGGGCUUAACCUGGGAACUGCGUUUGUGACUGCAAGGCUAGAGUACGGCAGAGGGGGGUGGAAUUCCUGGUGUAGCAGUGAAAUGCGUAGAGAUCAGGAGGAACACCGAUGGCGAAGGCAGCCCCCUGGGCCUGUACUGACGCUCAUGCACGAAAGCGUGGGGAGCAAACAGG
rnacentral:rRNA from 1 species